GUGCUUGCUUGGGCAGCAUAUAUACUAAAACUGGAACGAUACAGAGAAGAUUGGCUUGGCCCCGUGCAAGGAUGACACACAAGUUUGUGAAGCAUUCCACUUUUUA
rnacentral:snRNA from 1 species